rnacentral:rRNA from 1 species
CCUACGGGCGGCAGCAGUGGGGAAUAUUGCACAAUGGGGGUAACCCUGAAGCAGCCACGCCGCGUGAGUGAAGAAGUCCUUCGUUGUGUUAAGCUCUAUCAGCAGGGAAGCAACUGCCGGUACCUGAGUAAGCAGCCCCGGCUAACUACGUGCCAGCAGCCGCGGUAAUACGGAGGGGGCAAGCGUUAUCCGGAUUUACUCGGUGUAAAGGGAGCGGAGACGGCAGUGCAAGGCUGGAGGGAAAGGCGGGGGCUCAACCCCCGGACUGCCCUGGAAACUGUCCGGCUGGAGUGCAGGAGAGGUAAGUGGAAUGCGUGGUGUAGCGGUGAAAUGCGUAGAUAUUAGGAGGAACACCAGUUGCGAAGGCGGCUUACUGGAGUGCAACUGACGCUGAGGCUCGAAAGCGUGGGGAGCAAACAGGAUUAGAUACCCCAGUAGUC